CGAUGCUGGUUAGCAGCGCACCGGCUGUAACUCGGGACAGACUGAGCCUCUUUCGGACUUGUCUUCAUGGAAAAUGAGAUUCUCAAUAGGACAUUCCGUUUUAAACAAAGGGCCCUGUAGAGAGACGAGUCUGCAGCGAGAAAACACACAA